rnacentral:rRNA from 1 species
GUUAGCGGCGGACGGGUGAGUAACACGUGGAUAACCUACCUAUAAGACUGGGAUAACUUCGGGAAACCGGAGCUAAUACCGGAUAAUAUAUUGAACCGCAUGGUUCAAUAGUGAAAGACGGUCUUGCUGUCACUUAUAGAUGGAUCCGCGCUGCAUUAGCUAGUUGGUAAGGUAACGGCUUACCAAGGCAACGAUGCAUAGCCGACCUGAGAGGGUGAUCGGCCACACUGGAACUGAGACACGGUCCAGACUCCUACGGGAGGCAGCAGUAGGGAAUCUUCCGCAAUGGGCGAAAGCCUGACGGAGCAACGCCGCGUGAGUGAUGAAGGUCUUCGGAUCGUAAAACUCUGUUAUUAGGGAAGAACAUAUGUGUAAGUAACUGUGCACAUCUUGACGGUACCUAAUCAGAAAGCCACGGCUAACUACGUGCCAGCAGCCGCGGUAAUACGUAGGUGGCAAGCGUUAUCCGGAAUUAUUGGGCGUAAAGCGCGCGUAGGCGGUUUUUUAAGUCUGAUGUGAAAGCCCACGGCUCAACCGUGGAGGGUCAUUGGAAACUGGAAAACUUGAGUGCAGAAGAGGAAAGUGGAAUUCCAUGUGUAGCGGUGAAAUGCGCAGAGAUAUGGAGGAACACCAGUGGCGAAGGCGACUUUCUGGUCUGUAACUGACGCUGAUGUGCGAAAGCGUGGGGAUCAAACAGGAUUAGAUACCCUGGUAGUCCACGCCGUAAACGAUGAGUGCUAAGUGUUAGGGGGUUUCCCGCCCCUUAGUGCUGCAGCUAACGCAUUAAGCACUCCGCCUGGGGAGUACGACCGCAAGGUUGAAACUCAAAGGAAUUGACGGGGACCCGCCCAAGCGGUGGAGCAUGUGGUUUAAUUCGAAGCAACGCGAAGAACCUUACCAAAUCUUGACAUCCUUUGACACCUCUAGAGAUAGAGCUUUCCCCUUCGGGGGACAAAGUGACAGGUGGUGCAUGGUUGUCGUCAGCUCGUGUCGUGAGAUGUUGGGUUAAGUCCCGCAACGAGCGCAACCCUUAAGCUUAGUUGCCAUCAUUAAGUUGGGCACUCUAAGUUGACUGCCGGUGACAAACCGGAGGAAGGUGGGGAUGACGUCAAAUCAUCAUGCCCCUUAUGAUUUGGGCUACACACGUGCUACAAUGGACAAUACAAAGGGCAGCGAAACCGCGAGGUCAAGCAAAUCCCAUAAAGUUGUUCUCAGUUCGGAUUGU